GGAGUUUCUAAAUGAUGUGAGAAGGAUUUUUCUUCUUGUAAGUUGCCUGUAGAUGGGACUCGGGUCCCCAGAACUGUGGGAGUCCUGCCUCUGUGGAGCACUUGUGUACGAUGUCAGACAGUUUCUUAGCUUCUAGGCAACUCCUCGUGCUGGCAAACGGUGUGCUCGGCCUCGUUCACUGAGAAACUCCAUGAACUCACGCCACGACUGUGUUGCAAAGCAUUCUGAAUGAAUGAAAUCCAAAUUAGUAAGUCUGAACCAUGCUUUCAAUCUUGAGACCCUAGUGACAUGGCACUUGUUUAUGUAAAUCAAUUAAGAUAACACUACAGAAAAUCUAAAAGGAGGUCAUGCUUAUCUUCAACAGCCAAAUAAAUGGGAGAGAAAAGAAAUGGAUGAUUCCAGCCCUAGAAACUCUUGGCAUAAUUCUCCACUAGAGCUGGUGAAGCUGUACUGAUUCAUGCAGCAAUGACCGGGAGCUAAUUUUAAGUUACUACUAGGAGCAAACUUUGGUUUCAUCAUUAGGCACUAAGGCACAAGAUAAUCUGAUUUUGCUUUGUACUCUUCCAGCAAGACAUUGCAAGAUUGGAGUCUACAGAACUGAUUGUGCUCUCACUCUGACUACAAAAUAUUAUAGAUUUGAGUUUGCACUUAGCUGCUUAUUGGAACAGAAACUCUUCUGGGGAUGUGUUUCAAUCUUAGAAAGAAGCACAUUAUUGAUAAGCUGCUUUAACCAUUUGGUCCCUAAUGGCCAUUUAAUGCACUCACAAGCGAUGCAUUAAAAGAUUUCCUAACAAUAAAGAUGUCCCAAAGUCCCUAAAUCAAUUUCAGGCUGUGAUCAUUUCAGGAUAAUGAAAUGGACAGGAGGGAACCAGCCAUCUGGGUAAUUGGGCUUGCAAGUUAGUCUUAAAUAAAUAUAAGAUGAUGUAAUUGUCUGUAGAAUUCCAACCAUUAGUCUUACAGACUCUGAGAGAUUUCAAAACAAUCUGAAGCAUCUUGUUCUGAAUCUGUUGUUGUAAAAAGAACAUGUAUUUUUGUUUUACUGUUCAUCUUUCCCCAUAAAUCAUGCAGAUUUUGUUUUGGGGAAUCUUAUCCACCUAGUUGAUUAUCCACACUGCCUGCAGUUUGUACUAGAACUUUACCUUUCUGAACAUACACCUUUUGAAGAAAAUAGCUACACUUGGGCAUAAGAAAUUAUUUUUAUAAACAUCUGCUCUUCCCUAAAUGACUGCUAAAUAACCA